GAGCCUCGCUAGGGGUGCCGCCGCGGCGGCUGAGACAGUCCCUUCGAACCUGAUUGAGAUCAUCCUCGCGCAGGAAAGCAGCUCGCCACGGCG
rnacentral:ncRNA from 2 species